rnacentral:rRNA from 1 species
AUGGUCUGUACAUGCAUCAUCUUUGCUCUUCUGCUUGCUCGAUCAAUGGAGUGCACUGUUUUAGAAAGAUGGCAAAAAAGCAUCAUUAGCCAAACGAGUUUGAGACUUCGUAAUGUGGCUUCAAGGAAUUUUGGUACUAACCCUGUACGAUUAGUAGCCAACGAUGACAUGGCAGCCUCCUAUGCCAAGUACGAAGAUCAGCGGCACAAUGGAAGCCCACCAAACAGCCUUGCCGAUGGUGAAAUGGCGCCCAUUGGCGUCACGCGAGCACGCCAACCAAUAUGCAGCAAGAGUUUCUCCAACUCCUGCGACAAAAAUGGCGGCGAGGCCACAGUAAUAUGCGAGCGGGUGGUGGAGGAAAAGAACACCGCUCGCCGACUUGUACAAGGCCGUUCCAAUAGCGAUGACCAAGGUCGGGACGCUGAUCUUGCAUAUGUCCCGGGCGAGCUGCUGCGUCCGUUGGUCCAUGCUAGCGGACUCCUGGACCUGGUCUGGAGGCAUCUGGAUGGUGUGGUCGUCGUUGCCGGUGCCCUGUCCAAGUUUAAAAAAAAAAGCUUAGUUAUAUAG